AGAGUUUGAUCAUGGCUCAGGAUUAACGCUGGCGGUAUGCCUAACACAUGCAAGUCGAACGGAAUACUAAUUAAGAGAAAUCUCACACUAGUGAGAGGUUCUCACGAGUAGUAUUUAGUGCGGACGGGUGAGUAACACGUUGGAACCUGCCCCGAAGUGGGGAAUAACUGCUCGAAAGAGUAGCUAAUACCCCAUAGUAUCCGGUUUAUCCGGAUUAAAGAUUUAUCGCUUCGGGAGGGGCCUGCGUCUGAUUAGCUAGUUGGUGAGGUAAAAGCUCACCAAGGCGACGAUCAGUAGCUGGUUCGAGAGGAUGACCAGCCACACUGGGACUGAGAUACGGCCCAGACUCCUACGGGAGGCAGCAGUGAGGAAUCUUCCACAAUGGGCGCAAGCCUGAUGGAGCAAUACCGCGUGCAGGAAGACGCUUUUCGGAGUGUAAACUGCUUUUGUCGUCGAAGAUUAUGACUGUAGACGAAGAAUAAGGACCGGCUAACUACGUG
rnacentral:rRNA from 1 species